AUGGAGCUUUAGACACACAGGUGGACCAUGUCAAAUACCCCCAGCUAAGGGCCUGAACUAAAUGGAACCUGCCUUGAUGUCUUCGGUUGGGGCGACCAUGGGGAAUACAAAACCCCCACGUGGAAAGGGAGCACACCCCUAAGUUACUUCUUCUCCCGCAAGCCAGAGCAACAGCUCUAACAAGCAGAAAUUCUGACCAAACUGAUCCGGUAAAACCGAUCAACGAACCA
rnacentral:rRNA from 2 species